rnacentral:tRNA from 1 species
CUGGGUGUAGGUUAGUGGCUAUACCGCCGGUUUUGGAAACCGGAGACCGUGGGUUCGAGUCCCACCACCUAGA